AUUUAUGUAGUUUAAAUAAAACAUUACAUUUUCAUUGUAAAAAAAGAAUUAAUUUUUCUUAUAAAUA
rnacentral:tRNA from 1 species